UGGAUUUAAAGGAAUUUAAUUUCCUUUUCAAGACAUGGCGAAAGUCUACUUCUGGUCAAAUUGCAACCACUUCCGGGUCUUUUUAUUCCAAGAAGUACUUGACUGGCUGUUUAUUGUCCAUGGAGCUUCUCUUUUGGUUUCCUUUGGUAAUUGCACUUAGUGCCCAACCUCUUUUUAGUACUCAAAACGUGAGUUGUAAUGAAUUUUAGUGCACUGUUGAUACAACAUCCAGUCAUGAGAAAACGCCUUCCAGGGCUUGUAGUGGAUUAUUGAAAGUUGCUUGCUAAGCAUUGGCAUUGGUAGUUAAUGUUUUGUUGUUGCUCCUGAUGGGUACCUGGUUUCUGAGGGGCCUUCUGCAAAUGUUUCUAUUUAGAAUACAUGAGUUAACCGCAAUUAAGACUUUGAACCAAGUGAUUGUAUCUUGAUCUUGGAAUCCUUCCUUCUGGCUGUAUCAGUAUGUUUUUUAAAGCUCAUCCAUUCCUAUUGUUGAUGCCUUCUUUUGGUCUUGAAGUUGCGGGUUUAGUACCAAAUAAGGCUUUGAAGCUCAUCCACCAUAAAAGUUCCGGUUUAUGUCAUUCCAUGUUUCCAGUGGAAAUUAAUGGUGGAUUUAUCUGAUCU